AAUUGAAGAGUUUGAUCAUGGCUCAGAUUGAACGCUGGCGGCAAGCCUAACACAUGCAAGUCGAACGGUAACACUAAAAGAGCUUGCUCUUGAGGUGACGAGUGGCGGACGGGUGAGUAAUAUCUGGGGAUCUGCCUGAUGGAGGGGGACAACCAUUGGAAACGAUGGCUAAUACCGCAUAAAGUUGAAAAACCAAAGUGGGGGACUUUAUUAGCAAUAAUAAAACCUCAUGCCAUCAGAUGAACCCAGAUGGGAUUAGCUAGUAGGUGAGGUAAUAGCUCACCUAGGCUACGAUCCCUAGCUGGUCUGAGAGGAUGACCAGCCACACUGGAACUGAGAUACGGUCCAGACUCCUACGGGAGGCAGCAGUGGGGAAUAUUGCACAAUGGGCGAAAGCCUGAUGCAGCUAUGCCGCGUGUAUGAAGAAGGCUUUCGGGUUGUAAAGUACUUUCAGUAGGGAAGAAGGCAAUGUGGCUAAAAUCCACAAUGAUUGACGUUACCUACAGAAGAAGCACCGGCUAACUCCGUGCCAGCAGCCGCGGUAAUACGGAGGGUGCAAGCGUUAAUCGGAAUUACUGGGCGUAAAGCGCACGCAGGCGGUUUAUUAAGUCAGAUGUGAAAUCCCUGGGCUUAACCUAGGAACUGCAUUUGAAACUGAUAAGCUUGAGUUUCAUAGAGGAGAGCAGAAUUCCAGGUGUAGCGGUGAAAUGCGUAGAGAUCUGGAGGAAUAUCAGUGGCGAAGGCGGCUCUCUGGAUGAAUACUGACGCUCAGGUGCGAAAGCAUGGGGAGCAAACAGGAUUAGAUACCCUGGUAGUCCAUGCUGUAAACGAUGUCGACUUGGAAGUUGUGUCCUUGAGAUGUAAUUUCCGUAGCUAACGCGUUAAGUCGACCGCCUGGGGAGUACGACCGCAAGGUUAAAACUCAAAUGAAUUGACGGGGGCCCGCACAAGCGGUGGAGCAUGUGGUUUAAUUCGAUGCAACGCGAAAAACCUUACCUACUCUUGACAUCCAGCGAACUUGGCAGAGAUGCCUUGGUACCUUCGGGAAUGCUGAGACAGGUGCUGCAUGGCUGUCGUCAGCUCGUGUUGUGAAAUGUUGGGUUAAGUCCCGCAACGAGCGUAACCCUUAUCCUUUGUUGCCAGCGAGUUAGUCGGGAACCCAAAGGAGACUGCCGGUGAUAAGCCGGAGGAAGGUGGGGACGACGUCAAGUCAUCAUGGCCCUUAUGAGUAGGGCUACACACGUGCUACAAUGGCAUAUACAAAGAGACGCUACCUCGCAAGAGUAAGCAAAUCUCAUAAAAUAUGUCUUAGUCCGGAUUGGAGUCUGCAACUCGACUCCAUGAAGUCGGAAUCGCUAGUAAUCGUAGAUCAGAAUGCUACGGUGAAUACGUUCCCGGGCCUUGUACACACCGCCCGUCACACCAUGGAAGUGGAUUGCAAAAGAAGUAGGUAGCUUAACCUGCUAAAGGAGGGCACUUACCACUUUGUGAUUCAUGACUGGGGUGAAGUCGUAACAAGGUAACCGUAGGGGAACCUGUGGUUGGAUCACCUCCUUA
rnacentral:rRNA from 3 species